rnacentral:rRNA from 1 species
GACGAACGCUGGCGGCGUGCCUAAUACAUGCAAGUAGGCCGCAGUUGCGAACGUGUGCCUAACGCGUAGGUCACUCCCUAUUAGCGGGGGAUAACUAUUGGCAACGCUAGCUAAUACCGCAUACUAGUCGAUGUACCUGCGUUGUCUUAGCUAGUAGGUAGGGUAAUGGCCUACCUGGCCAACGAUACGUAGCCGGCCUGAGAGGGUGAUCGGCCACACUGGGACUGAGACCAGGCACAGACUCCGACGGGAGGCAGCAGUAGGGAAUCUUCGGCAAUGGGGGGAAGCCUGACCGAGCAACGCCGCGGGAGUGAAGAAGGUUUUCGGGUCGUAAAGCUAUGGUGUUAAGGAAGCGGUACUUAACCAGAAAGGGACGGCUAACUACGUGCCAGCAGCCGCGGUAAGUC